ACACACCGGAUCUCCAGCAAGCUACCUGCUUUGGAGAGCAUCAGGCGGACGGCGCGGACCCACCUUCCUCCCCAAGUUUGGGGCGUGGGGGAGCCGGGACAAGGGGCGGGUGGCUAUGGCUCAGCCGGGGGGUCCGGAGCAGACCCGGGAAGAUGCCGCUGGGGACGGAUUCACCGACGUCAUCAAGAGUCGCGCUGUUUCAGGUGUACCAUAUAAUGAUUCAACAAUCCUGUACAUUGCUCAGUGCUCAUCACAAAAGAAUGAGAGAGAGCAUGAGAGGGAAGAGGGUCAGAGGGAGAAGCAGACUCCC